UGGUGAUAAUAUCUGGGAGCCAAGAAAGAGUGUCAUCCAUCAUGUUGCAGAUUUGCUUGAUUUGGCUGGUCUCGAGUUUCUUUGAGGAAUCCAGCGGGCAGAUUGUCAUCACUCAGACACCAGCUUCGAUACAGGCGAAUCUUGGGGACAGAGUCUCCAUCCAGUGCAGGGCUUCCUCUUCUGUCAGUAGCUAUAUGAGUUUAUAUGAGUUUAAACCAGGACAGAAGCCCAAGCUACUGAUUUAUCAGGCUUCAAACCGUUUCGAAGGGAUCCCAGAUCGCUUCAGCGGCAGCCAAAGCGGCAACGACUUCUCCUUCACUAUCAACGGUGUCAAAACCGAGGAUGUAGGGGACUAUUACUGUGGCCAAAGCUACAGCUAUCCUCUCCACAGUGAUACAAUUCAGUACAAAAACCAGCUCAGUAGUCUGAAGACUUCAGGAAGAGAUGCCUAUCAGUGCUUUGCAGCAGCUCCACUCAGUGAGCUGUAA